rnacentral:rRNA from 1 species
CCCGGGAGGGGAGUGAAAAAGAACAUGAAACCGUGAGCUUACAAGCAGUGGGAGUCCGAUUAAACGGAUGACCGCGUGCCUGUUGAAGAAUGAGCCGGCGACUUAUAGGUACUGGUAGGUUAAAGCGGGAAUGCUGGAGCCAAAGGGAAACCGAGUCUGAAAAGGGCGCUAAUCAGUAUUUAUAGACCCGAACCCUGGUGAUCUAACCAUGGCCAGGAUGAAGCUUGGGUAAAACCAAGUGGAGGUCCGAACCGACCGAUGUUGAAAAAUCGGCGGAUGAGCGGUGGUUAGGGGUGAAAUGCCAAUCGAACCAGGAGCUAGCUGGUUCUCCCCGAAA